AGUGAACGCUGGCGGUAGGCCUAACACAUGCAAGUCGAACGGCAGCACAGUAAGAGCUUGCUCUUACGGGUGGCGAGUGGCGGACGGGUGAGGAAUACAUCGGAAUCUACUUUUUCGUGGGGGAUAACGUAGGGAAACUUACGCCAAUACCGCAUACGACCUACGGGUGAAAGCAGGGGAUCUUCGGACCUUGCGCGAUUGAAUGAGCCGAUGUCGGAUUAGCUAGUUGGCGGGGUAAAGGCCCACCAAGGCGACGAUCCGUAGCUGGUCUGAGAGGAUGAUCAGCCACACUGGAACUGAGACACGGUCCAGACUCCUACGGGAGGCAGCAGUGGGGAAUAUUGGACAAUGGGCGCAAGCCUGAUCCAGCCAUACCGCGUGGGUGAAGAAGGCCUUCGGGUUGUAAAGCCCUUUUGUUGGGAAAGAAAAGCGGCAGGUUAAUACCCCGCUGUUCUGACGGUACCCAAAGAAUAAGCACCGGCUAACUUCGUG
rnacentral:rRNA from 1 species